GACGAACGCCGGCGGCGUGCUUAACACAUGCAAGUCGAACGGAAAGGCCCUGCUUUUGUGGGGUGCUCGAGUGGCGAACGGGUGAGUGACACGUGAGUAACCUGCCCUUGACUUUGGGAUAACUUCAGGAAACUGGGGCUAAUACCGGAUAGGAGCUCCUGCUGCAUGGUGGGGGUUGGAAAGUUUCGGCGGUUGGGGAUGGACUCGCGGCUUAUCAGCUUGUUGGUGGGGUAGUGGCUUACCAAGGCUUUGACGGGUAGCCGGCCUGAGAGGGUGACCGGCCACAUUGGGACUGAGAUACGGCCCAGACUCCUACGGGAGGCAGCAGUGGGGAAUAUUGCACAAUGGGCGGAAGCCUGAUGCAGCAACGCCGCGUGCGGGAUGACGGCCUUCGGGUUGUAAACCGCUUUCGCCUGUGACGAAGCGUGAGUGACGGUAAUGGGUAAAGAAGCACCGGCUAACUACGUG
rnacentral:rRNA from 1 species